rnacentral:lncRNA from 1 species
AUCUUCCCCCUUCAUUUCCUCUUCUUCUUCGUUCGAGCUACGAGCAGAUUGAACCCUUUUUUGAGUGAGCUCCAUCCAACGAGCUUCACUGGUUGAGCUCUGCUCGAAUCUCGUUUCCACGGCCACUGCUUGGCUUCACUGCUUCAUCGGCGACCUGCGACUGACACGAAGCAGCAGAUUGCAGAAAUUGGGGAGAUAGAGGACUGGAGGUUGCAGCUAAAAAUGUGAAGUAACGGCACCUUCAUUCUACAAAUUGAGAUAUUUAAUAUAUAUUUCUGUAGCAAAUAUGUGAAUUGUUAGUUUAAUAUUUCUGAUUUAGGUAAAAUUUGUUAAGCCUGAAACCCGAACACCUAAAAUUGGGGGGCGCAACCGUACAGGGCCUAGAGGCCUUAGUGGACUUUCUGAGCAUAGAGGAGAGCUCGGUAGCUGAGUCUGACUUUUUUUUCGUGGUGGGGGGGGGGGGGGGGGGGGGGGGGGGGGAGGAGUGGGAGGUAAGAACCAGCCAAGAAAAUGCAGGGUAGCUCAAUUCCUUGGACAAGUGAUUCAGUUGUCGGCACACCAGGGGCUAGAGUAGGGGAGCAUCUCUAUUAAAUGACUAGCUGUGAAGUUUGGUUCUUUGGUUAUUUCUUCAGUCAAAUUCAAGUUGACCUUGAUUUAUAUUUAUAUAACUGUUAAGUAUCAUGUUUGUCAGAAGGAACUAAAUGCUUCUAAGUCUUGUCCAUUUGCUUCAAUUUUUCUUUAUAAUUUGCUGCACUCUUGUUUAUGUUUUGAUGAAAUAAUGAUGAGGUUGAGAGCAGGUUCUUGCUUAUGUAUAUUGCUGAAAAUAUGAAUCUGGACCAUGGCCACUGAGUUUCUUGUUGCGUGCGUUUUUGGAAUCUGCACUGUUGUUUAUGUUUUGAUGAAAUGAUGAUGAGGUUGACAAUACGUUCUUACUUGUGUAUAUUGCUGAAAAUAGGAAUCUGGAUUAUGGCCCUUUCUGUAUAGUGCUAUUUUGAUCAAAUGAGGGUCUUCAAAAUGCCCCACUUUCUUCUUUUUUUUUUGAUCAAAGGAUGAUGAGAUUGAGUCUCGACUUUGCUAUUUUCGUGGAAUCUGGAUCUUGGUCUCGAGUCUUGACUUUGCUAUUUUCAUUAGCUUGAGUUGUUUCUGUUUCCUUAUAGUCAUGAUUUUAUGAUGUUGGAUUGCUGAACAGUCUUGAGUCUUGUUUCUCUUUCCUUACGGUCUCUCUUGGACUGCUGGACAGCUUCCUUACAGCCACAGAAGUGUUUGACCUGCUGAAAUCUCCUUAAUGUUCAAGAUGCUAGAGCUGCAGUGGACUUUGAUAGGCCAUGUUAUCUGAUAGGUCAAUGUUUAGUGCAAAUUAGUGCUGCUGCUGGGCUUCAUAUUCUCGGAAAUCGUUUGUCGAGCUUGAGUACUUUAGCUCGAUAUUGAGCUUGCCAAGUUCUCGAGCUCCAUCAAGUUGAGCUCGAGCCCUCCCACUACUUCGAGUCGAGCUCGAGUACUGCUUUUGAGCAUCAAGUUUGAGCUCAAGUAUGGCGAUACUCGAGUUCGACUCAACCGAUAUCACUCCUACUUAUAUGGCUGUUCCAAACUAAAAAAGAAAACAUUAUAUAAUAUUGAGUCCAAUGGUUAAUAAGAUGAAUAAAAUAUAUGAUAAUGCCAA